rnacentral:snRNA from 1 species
GUCCUUUGGCAGCACGUAUACUAAAAUUGGAAUGACAGACGAUUAGCAUGGCCCCUGCACAGGGAUGACAAGCAAAUUCGUGAAGCAUUCCAUUUUAAA